rnacentral:lncRNA from 1 species
UUCAAUGUAAUUACUUUUCUUUGUAUAAACAGGAAUUUGAGGAUGAAUUUCUUCCAUAGGUACUAUAGUCAUAUGUCUAAAUAUUUCUCUCAUCUGCCCAUUAUGACUUUCCUUUCUUUUCUCAGCUUCUUCCAAUCCCUCUUCUUCUUCCUCUUCUUCACCAAGCUCAUCAUUCUCACUUACCUCUUCUUCAUCACUGCUAAUCUCAAUCACUUCUUCCUCUGUUUUUCUUUUUUCCCUUAUUACAACAGCACGACAUUCUUCCUUAGGAUUAACAUCAGUAUUAAC